ensembl:lncRNA
CAGCGACUUCGAGAAUCUCUGCAUACUCUCCUCCUACAAACAACCAAAUAUCUAGAAAAUAAAAGGAUGCCCAAUGGAGAAAGUCCCCUGGCUCCUCCUGAAUCUCAUGCAAAAGGCUGGAACUCUCAAUCCCUGACAGCUUCUGGAUCCUUCCUUCAGCAUCAAACCUCAAGAUGGCAGCCUUCUGGCUAGACUACAACCAGAACUUUUACCACUCAGUGAUUAUAUACAUGAUCAUAAUACAGAAGAACUGUACAAAAAAGAUCUUCACGACCCAGAUAAUCACGAUGGUGUAAUCACUGACCUAGAGCCAGACAUCCUGGAAUGUGAAGUCAAGUGGGAGGUGAUAGAAUUCCAGUUGAGCUAUUCCAAAUCCUGAAAGAUGAUGCUGUGAAAGUG